rnacentral:rRNA from 1 species
GGUGAGUAACGCGUGGGUAACCUGCCUCAUACACGUGGAUAACAGUUAGAAAUGACUGCUAAUACCGCAUAAGACCACGGAGCCGCAUGGCUCAGUGGGAAAAACUCCGGUGGUAUGAGAUGGACCCGCGUCUGAUUAGGUAGUUGGUGGGGUAACGGCCUACCAAGCCAACGAUCAGUAGCCGACCUGAGAGGGUGACCGGCCACAUUGGGACUGAGACACGGCCCAGACUCCUACGGGAGGCAGCAGUGGGGAAUAUUGCACAAUGGGGGAAACCCUGAUGCAGCGACGCCGCGUGGAGGAAGAAGGUCUUCGGAUUGUAAACUCCUGUUGUUGAGGAAGAUAAUGACGGUACUCUUUAAGGAAGUGACGGCUAACUACGUGCCAGCAGCCGCGGUAAAACGUAGGUCACAAGCGUUGUCCGGAAUUACUGGGUGUAAAGGGAGCGCAGGCGGGAAGACAAGUUGGAAGUGAAAUCUAUGGGCUCAACCCAUAAACUGCUUUCAAAACUGUUUUUCUUGAGUAGUGCAGAGGUAGGCGGAAUUCCCGGUGUAGCGGUGGAAUGCGUAGAUAUCGGGAGGAACACCAGUGGCGAAGGCGGCCUACUGGGCACCAACUGACGCUGAGGCUCGAAAGUGUGGGUAGCAAACAGGAUUAGAUACCCUGGUAGUCCACACCGUAAACGAUGAUUACUAGGUGUUGGAGGAUUGACCCCU